UACAGAGGUCCCAAGCGUUGUUCGGAAUUACUGGGCGUAAAGCGAGUGUAGGUGGUGCUAUAAGUUUGGUGUGAAAUCUCCCGGCUCAACUGGGAGGGUGCGCCGAAGACUGUAGUGCUAGAGUAUGGGAGAGGUAGGCGGAAUUCCUGGUGUAGCGGUGAAAUGCGUAGAUAUCAGGAGGAACACCUGCGGUGUAGACGGCUUACUGGACCAUGACUGACACUGAAACUCGAAAGUGUGGGGAGCAAACAGG
rnacentral:rRNA from 1 species